rnacentral:rRNA from 1 species
UACGUAGGGGGCAAGCGUUGUCCGGAUUUAUUGGGCGUAAAGAGCUCGUAGGCGGUUUGUCGCGUCUGCCGUGAAAGUCCGGGGCUCAACUCCGGAUCUGCGGUGGGUACGGGCAGACUAGAGUGAUGUAGGGGAGACUGGAAUUCCUGGUGUGGCGGUGAAAUGCGCAGAUAUCAGGAGGAACACCGAUGGCGAGGGCAGGUCUCUGGGCAUUAACUGACGCUGAGGAGCGAAAGCAUGGGGAGCGAACAGG